UUGGUCUAUUUCAGUUUCACUUGUGUUUCCCCCCGUCUCCCAGUCCAUAAUACAUUUACAGUUUACAAUCCCCGAUCAUGGCCCAACAAAAGGUCAUCGGUUGACUAAAGGAACACAACUGUUCAAUGGAUUUAUAGUUGAAUGCGAUCAAACUACGUCUUUUCAAUCGUGGAUUGUAAAUUUAACCCCAUGGGCCUAGGGAAGGCCAUAUAACAAUACUUUCGACACAGUUAUUAUCUCCGCUGCCUCCACCAUGUUACACACAGUGCUCACUGCUGAUUCUAAAAUGCGCCACCUAGUCAAAACAGGACAUAUGUUCUUCUAGGAAUAGAUCUCUUUCCAAUAUUUCGUCAUUCCACUAUCGUCAUCACCUCAUCAUACUUUCAUUGACAUUACAGGCACACAUCCACAGAGCACUCUUCAAAUCAUCUACACAGUGGUUAUCCAACUAGGAUUAUAAAGGCACACAUUGACAUUGACCACUGUUCCAGUCAACGACACAGUCGCUAUCCAAGUAGCAUUAUAGAGCUGUCAUGCAACGCAACAACUGUGCUAUCUGCCAUCGCACAUCAACGAAGAAGUGCAGCCGCCCACAUUCCACCUCACGUCUGUCCGACCAGCUGCAAUCCUCGAGGACGCCCCACUGUACCACGAUUUCACUACGAUGUUUGACA